GUGAACGCUGGCGGUAGGCCUAACACCUGCAAGUCGAACGGCAGCACAGUAAGCGCUUGCUCUUACGGGUGGCGAGUGGCGGACGGGUGAGGAAUACAUCGGAAUCUACUUUUUCGUGGGGGAUAACGUAGGGAAACUUACGCUAAUACCGCAUACGACCUACGGGUGAAAGCAGGGGAUCUUCGGACCUUGCGCGAUUGAAUGAGCCGAUGUCGGAUUAGCUAGUUGGCGGGGUAAAGGCCCACCAAGGCGACGAUCCGUAGCUGGUCUGAGAGGAUGAUCAGCCACACUGGAACUGAGACACGGUCCAGACUCCUACGGGAGGCAGCAGUGGGGAAUAUUGGACAAUGGGCGCAAGCCUGAUCCAGCCAUACCGCGUGGGUGAAGAAGGCCUUCGGGUUGUAAAGCCCUUUUGUUGGGAAAGAAAAGCAGCAGGUUAAUACCCCGCUGUUCUGACGGUACCCAAAGAAUAAGCACCGGCUAACUUCGUG
rnacentral:rRNA from 1 species